CCUACGGUAGGCAGCAGUGUGGAAUAUUGCACAAUGGGGGAAACCCUGAUGCAGCGACGCCGCGUGAGUGAAGAAGUAAUUCGUUACGUAAAGCUCUAUCAGCAGGGAAGAAACACUGACCUUACGGUCAGCAGACGGUACCUUAGUAAGAAGCCCCGGCUAACUACGUGCCAGCAGCCGCGGUAAUACGUAGGGGGCAAGCGUUAUCCGGAUUUACUGUGUGUAAAGGGAGCGUAGACGGUGCGCCAAGUCGGGAGUGAAAUGCCUCAGCUUAACUGCGGAACUGCUUUGGAAACUGGCGAACUAGAGUGCGGGAGGGGUAAGCGGAAGUCCUAGUGUAGCGGUGAAAUGCGUAGAUAUUAGGAGGAACACCGGUGGCGAAGGCGGCUUACUGGACCGUAACUGACGUUGAGGCUCGAAAGCGUGGGGAGCAAACAGGAUUAGAUACCCCGGUAGUC
rnacentral:rRNA from 1 species